CCCAGCUCUGGUCUGUGCUUGCCUGUAAUUCCCUUUAAAGGGAAACCUGAGGGGUGGUAAAAAUGGUGUCUCUUUCACCUUUGUAAUAACCCCUGGGGCCAAAUCUGUGCCUGGUACGGUGCCUCAGCUAAUGAGUGUUUGACAAAUGAUCGCAUGUGCGUUCACAGUUAAGCUGUCAUCCGUCCUGCCAGAAAACCAAGGCACCCAGCAUGUCAAAAAGAAAAAAAGAAAAGAAAAGAAAAGAAAAGCCCUCUUGUGCAGGAACAAGCCCCUUAAAAAGUCAACACAACAUCCUGCUGGUCCUUCAUGGGCUGCUGACAACCCAGUAGAUGGAACUGUGUUCUGCAGCAUUGUGGGCGUGUCCAAUUAGACUCGGUGAGACCGAGCUGCCCUCCAACAUGAAUAAGCCUUGCAAAUAUGUGGUUAAUGACCAUGUCGCUCCGUGUCAGUUCUUAAUCCCAGAUAAUUAGCAGAUAGAUAAUUGGUGGAAGAACGGGAGGUGCUGACAGACGGCCCAUCACUUGGGUGAAGUUAAUGAUCCUCUGUGGAUUAAGCCCCACCCUCUGGGAGUGUUGAUGGCUGCUAUUUGAAAUGCUCCUUUUGAAAGGGCCUGGAUCCAAGAAGAGGUGUCAAGAACUCCAGCUCGGGGCGUGGCAUCAGAACUAAUUCCCUGAGCUGCUUCCGGGAAGGCCCAGAACCAGGGCUAUGAGUUAGCCCACCCCAACAUUCACCCCAUCUAUGAUCUGAAGGAGCACGUGAAGGGGCCUGUUCUGCAGAUCCAAAGCUGCAGGGUCUCCAGGACACAGAGCAACAACAGGAUAACCAUGAGGAGCCCCAGUGAGGGCCCAGUAGCAACAGCAUGGCAGAAACCAGAGGCCUCAAAUCAGACCAAUGACUCUUUGCAAAGAACUCUUGCAAGAAAAGAAAUGUGGACAAAAGGGUCUACUGUGUGACUCACUGUGGCAUACUACAGCUUCCAUGAUGAGAUUUUUCUUUCUUUCUUUUUCUUUUUUCUCUCAAACUUUAUUUUAUUUGACUUUGGUGGGGGAGGCUGCAAGGGCAGAGGGCAUCUGGAUGCAAAUGCACGGGAGAUGAGUGGGAUUGAGAUGCCUGAUGUGAAAGAUACAA
rnacentral:lncRNA from 1 species